rnacentral:rRNA from 1 species
GAUGAACGCUGGCGGCGUGCCUAACACAUGCAAGUCGAGCGAUCUUCUUCGGAAGAGAGCGGCGGACGGGUGAGUAACGCGUGGGUAACCUGCCCUGUACACACGGAUAACAUACCGAAAGGUAUGCUAAUACGAGAUAAUAUGCUUUUGUCGCAUGGUAGAAGUAUCAAAGCUCCGGCGGUACAGGAUGGACCCGCGUCUGAUUAGCUAGUUGGUAAGGUAACGGCUUACCAAGGCGACGAUCAGUAGCCGACCUGAGAGGGUGAUCGGCCACAUUGGAACUGAGACACGGUCCAAACUCCUACGGGAGGCAGCAGUGGGGAAUAUUGCACAAUGGGCGAAAGCCUGAUGCAGCAACGCCGCGUGAGCGAUGAAGGCCUUCGGGUCGUAAGCUCUGUCCUCAAGGAAGAUAAUGACGGUACUUGAGGAGGAAGCCCCGGCUAACUACGUGCCAGCAGCCGCCGUAA